rnacentral:pre_miRNA from 1 species
UCUUAUGAAUGAGCAAAGAAGGUGGUUUCUUUAGAUGGAAUCAAUUUCUGGUGAAGAUUCUGGGAA